AUUGAACGCUGGCGGCAGGCCUAACACAUGCAAGUCGGACGGUAGCACAGAGUAGCUUGCUCCUCGGGUGACGAGUGGCGGACGGGUGAGUAAUGUCUGGGGAUCUGCCCGAUAGAGGGGGAUAACCACUGGAAACGGUGGCUAAUACCGCAUAACGUCGCAAGACCAAAGAGGGGGACCUUCGGGCCUCUCACCAUCGGAUGUGCCCAGAUGGGAUUAGCUAGUAGGUGGGGUAAUGGCUCACCUAGGCGACGAUCCCUAGCUGGUCUGAGAGGAUGACCAGCCACACUGGAACUGAGACACGGUCCAGACUCCUACGGGAGGCAGCAGUGGGGAAUAUUGCACAAUGGGCGCAAGCCUGAUGCAGCCAUGCCGCGUGUAUGAAGAAGGCCUUCGGGUUGUAAAGUACUUUCAGCGGGGAGGAAGGCGGUGAGGUUAAUAACCUCGCCGAUUGACGUUACCCGCAGAAGAAGCACCGGCUAACUCCGUGCCAGCCGCCGCCGUAA
rnacentral:rRNA from 1 species